AAACAAAAAAUAUAUAUCAGUACCUGCAAAGGUUUAAUAGGGAAGCCUGUAAAUCCCGCUAUUGGGAGAAAGAGUCAGGCGCGGUCCCGCCGCUGUAACCGGGGACGAAAAAUCGCGAAAUAAACCACUGUUAUCUUAAACCGAAAAACAUUUUUGAGAAUAAUGGGAAGGUUGGCGAUAAGUAGAAUGAUCCGGAAGCCAGAAGACCUGCUGAUAUAAUCGUUAAAAU
rnacentral:ncRNA from 2 species